rnacentral:rRNA from 1 species
AUGAGGACCGCGUCGGCGUUGCGGCUGCUCCUGCCGGCAGUGCUGUGCUGCUGCAUCGGCGGCGCGGCCGGCCAGGGGUGGCGCUGCAGGUUCCCGGCCGUGUUCAACUUCGGCGACUCCAACUCCGACACGGGCGGCUUCUGGGCCGCCUUCCCGGCGCAGCCGCCCCCGUUCGGCGUCACCUACUUCAUAGCCCCUACCUGCAGUCCGUCGGCUCCGACUUCCGACCGGCACGGCGCCAACUUCGCCACGCUCGCCUCCACGGCGCUGCUGCCCAACACCUCGCUCUUCGUCACCGGCAUCAGCCCCUUCUCCCUCGCCAUCCAGCUCCGGCAGAUGAAGGAGCUCAGCGACAGAGCCAUCGCCGCCGGCGGCACCAGCCAGCUUCCCCCGCCCAGUGUUUUCGGCGAUUCUCUGUACACCAUCGACAUUGGCCAGAAUGAUUUCACCUCCAACCUGGCGUCCCAGGGCAUCGAGGCUGUCAAGCGAACUCUUCCUUCAGUUAUCAGCCAGAUCUCACAGACGAUACAGGACUUGCACAGCAUUGGUGGUGCUCGCAAGUUCAUGGUGUUCAACAUGGCGCUGAUCGGGUGCUACCCGGCUUUUCUAGUGGAAUACUCAUCCAGAUCGUUGCUGCCUACUCGUACCUACCUAUGA